UACGUAGGGGGCAAGCGUUGUCCGGAUUUAUUGGGCGUAAAGAGCGUGUAGGCGGCCAUACAGGUCAGCUGUGAAAACUCGAGGCUCAACCUCGAGACGUCGGUUGAAACCGUAUGGCUAGAGUCCGGAAGAGGAGAGUGGAAUUCCCGGUGUAGCGGUGAAAUGCGCAGAUAUCGGGAAGAACACCUAUGGCGAAGGCAGCUCUCUGGGACGGUACUGACGCUGAGACGCGAAAGCGUGGGGAGCGGACAGG
rnacentral:rRNA from 1 species